rnacentral:rRNA from 1 species
AUGGAUUCUGUCGAGGAAUUGCCUACAUCGGAGGGAUUCGACACGAUCAUGGUGGUGGUCGACCGUUUGACCAAGUUCUCCCACUUCAUGCCCCUUCGCCAUCCUUUCAAUGCAACGCAAGUGGCACGAGCCUUCUGGGACUCCAUCAUCAAGCUCCACGGCGUUCCGCACACGAUCGUCUCUGACCGCGACAAGAUAUUCACAAGCGCCAUGUGGAGGGAAAUUCUCGCAGCCGCUGGUACCAAGCUCCUCUAUUCCACAGCAUACCAUCCACAGACGGACGGGCAGAGCGAACGGGUGAACCAGUGCCUCAAGAUGUUCCUUCGCUGUGCCAUCAACGACCAGCCCAAGCAAUGGCGUAGGUGGCUUCCUGCAGCAGAGUUCUGGUACAAUUCAACGCAUCACUCUUCGCUUCGCUGCUCUCCGUUCAAGGCACUGUACGAGCGGGAUCCCAACUUGGGAGGACUCCCAGCUUUCAGCAGCGAGCUGCCCACCGACGCAGCCACAGGCGACCUUGACUGGGUGGCGCACACCGAGAUGCUGUGA